rnacentral:rRNA from 1 species
AAUGAACGCUGGCGGCGUGCCUAACACAUGCAAGUCGCACGAGAAAGGGGCCGCAAGGUCCUCAGUAAAGUGGCGAACGGGUGAGUAACGCGUAGGUAACCUGCUCCCGAGUGGGGAAUAACCUGGCGAAAGCCGGGCUAAUACCGCAUAACGUCCUUGGGUCUCCGGAUCUGGGGAACAAAGGUGGCGAGCUUCGAGCGCUGCCGCUUGGGAAGGGGCCUGCGUCCCAUUAGCUAGUUGGUGGGGUAAUGGCCUACCAAGGCUUCGAUGGGUAGCCGGGCUGAGAGGCUGUCCGGCCACACUGGAACUGAGACACGGUCCAGACUCCUACGGGUGGCAG